rnacentral:lncRNA from 1 species
AUGCUGCUUAGUUCCAGCAUGUUUUACCACCUGAGAGACCGGGAGAUGCUCCGGAAGAGAAAGGCGGAAGCCAAGGAGAAGGAUUCAAUUCAGUGGGCUCUAGGGGAUUAUGAGAAAAGCAAGCGUCAGAAGAAAAGCCAAGGUGCCAGGAGGGGAAGGAAGCGUGGGCAUGUAAUGAAGCCUGCACCACAGCAAAGGCCUCAGUCCCUGAAGACAGAGGAAGAUGAGACGAUGUCUUCCGUGAUUACGCAGCAAGCUGAGUCUUCCCAGAUAGAUGCGCAGGACCUGUUUUCUGGUGUGCAGCUGGCAGAUCUGGAAGGGAUAUUGGCCUCUGAGAGCCAGAGUCCCCUGGGUGAAGAGGAUAUGCUGAAACUGGCGGAUGAGUUAGAGGACGUACUGAGUUCUUCACUGGAAAAUAAUGGAUCAGAAAUUGACACAAACUCAUCAAGCCCGUUUUAAAGUUUUAUGUAACAACUAACAUAGAAUCAUAGAAUUACCCAGGUUGGAAAAGACCUUGAAGAUCAUCAAGUCCAACCACAGCCUAACCAUAGUACCCUAACUCUAACAACCCUACACUAAAUCAUAUCCCUGAGCACCACAUCCAAAUGGCUCUUAAACACAUCCAGGGAUGGCGAUUCAACCACCUCCCUGGGGAGCCUAUUCCAGCACUUAACAACCCUUUCUGUAAAGAAGUUCUUCCUAAUAUCCAACCCAAACUUACCUUGGUGCAACUUGAGGCCAUUUCCCCUCAUCCUGUCACUUGUGUAUAUUGUGUCACAUAUGUAUAUUCUUCUAGAUUUAAGACUAAGAAAUACUGAAAAGUCUUUUUAAGACACUUGAAGCUGCUCUUUCCUCAGGAACAAUAAAAAUCUCUCUGCAAUGCUUCCUGUGUUGCUU